UCAGUUCGGAUUGCACUCUGCAACUCGAGUGCAUGAAGUCGGAAUCGCUAGUAAUCGCGGAUCAGCACGCCGCGGUGAAUACGUUCCCGGGCCUUGUACACACCGCCCGUCACACCAUGGGAGUUGGCUUUACCUUAAGACGGUGCGCGAACCGCAAGGACGCAGCCGGCCACGGUAAGGUCAGCGACUGGGGUGAAGUCGUAACAAGGUAGCCGUAGGGGAACCUGCGGCUGGAUCACCUCCUUUCAGAGAA
rnacentral:rRNA from 1 species